CGGGGGGAGCAAGCGUUGUUCGGAUUUACUGGGCGUAAAGGGCGCGUAGGCGGCCACGCAAGUCGACUGUGAAAUCUCUGGGCUUAACCCAGAAAGGUCAGCCGAUACUGCGGGGCUAGAGUGCAGAAGGGGCGAACUGGAAUUCUCGGUGUAGCGGUGAAAUGCGUAGAUAUCGAGAGGAACACCUGCGGCGAAGGCGGGUUGCCUGGGCUGACACUGACGCUGAAGCGCGAAAGCUAGGGGAGCGAACGGGAUUAGAUACCCCGGUAGUCCUAGCCUUAAACGAUGAAUGCUUGGUGUCUGGGGUUUUAUAGUCCCCGGGUGCCGUCGCUAACGCUUUAAGCAUUCCGCCUGGGGAGUACGGUCGCAAGACUG
rnacentral:rRNA from 1 species